UUACACCUCUCAACUUCUAGCAUUUAAUAAAUGACCAAAAUGCCCAAGGGCAGACAGAAGACUCGAAUUAAAGAUAAAAGUUAAAGUCAGCAGAAAUAAAUUAUUCAAAACAUAAGACAUUAUUUUGAACUAAAUAGCUAUAAACACGUGGGGAAACAAAAUUAAUAAAUCAAGUCCAACAUUAAGUCAUAAGUAAAGUCUCAAGUCUAAACGCCAAAAAAAUAACAUAAGCGCUCAUCCUUUGCCAAUCACUCACUCAGGGUCCUUUGACAUGGUUGACAACCGUUGCAGUUCUUCCAAUAUGCCUCUGCUCUGGGAUCUCUGGUAUGACCUGAUGAGUGGCUCGGGGUUAGUCUUUCGUGCUCAAACAUUAGUAUUCGGGUUCCAAGGAUUCGACAGACUUAAAAUGUAGAUUGUUAUAACGCCUUAAUCAUUCUAAUUAUAAGAGAAAAAGAAGUUCAUUAAUUCAAUUAGUGACAAAGGAGUUUUAUGAACUAACACUUAUUGAAUUCUAAUUAUAACUUCCUAACCUAUAUAAUUUCUUAUCACCUAUAAUAUUAUGAGUAAGAAAACAAUCCUAACAUUAUUUUGAAAGAUUAUAACCAUCCUAACCCGAUUAGAGUUGAUUCUAGUAUUUGAGGAGCUAUGGAAGUCAUUGUGGGUGCAAUAUGUCAUGACUGGAAAGUUACAUGAUGCGGAAGCAACAAGGAAUUAAUUUGGUGGCUGAAUUGUUUAGUUCUAAAAGUGUGGUACUGAUCCGUACGUGACUAAUAAUAACAGACUGAGAUGCGAAUGAUCUAAAGUUCAGUUAUUGAUUAUUAAAUCUUAAGACAUGGGGUAUUGAUUCAGACAAAUUCUAAAUCGAACAAGAAAUGGUCGAACCAAACUGUGUCGCUCCAGAUUCGGUCCAACCAGUGCCAUCAACCCAGACAUAAUAAUACGCCGGACACCUCGUUCCAGAUUCCGGCGGAGAUUUUCUAGACUCUGGCGAGGAUCAGAACACGAGUAGAACUUGUCUAUAAUCGACAAAACUCGACGGAAUCGAUCCUUAGCCUUAUUCCGAAGCUAUCCAGACGAGUCAGAGGGCAUGGGUCGUCCUUAAGGCUACGGACCGGUCGAUCGACGGAACGUUGCUGCCGCCGCGAGAUUGAAAUAUGAAAAAAUCCAUCCAGAGAGGAAGCUCAAUGACUAGUUUCGUUAGGCUUAGAUGAAGGGUGGAGGAACAAACUCCCUAUCCUUAAUAAAGAGUCAACACUGUUUGGAGGUUGGAAUCGACGAACGAAGAGCGUUCGCCACGAACAGAGACGUCAACGUUAGAGGAAUCUUCCUCCUGUAUAUUGACAAAGAACGAAGAGAUUCGAUCAACGUGACAGAAUGAUUCGAUCAAGCCGUGAAUUCAAAGGGAAGGACAGAAAGGAAUGGUUACCAUCACCGUCUACAAGGUUCCUGGAAGUUCGAACAUCCGCAGGAUUCUAUUGAAUUGUAGAGACCCAUUUGAUUUCGUUUUAGCGAGAGACGGAAAGGGGAUGAGUUGUUUGGUCGCCGAAUUGUUGCGCCGGGAAAGGAAAGAGGAAUUCCUGGAUCAGAGGUAGGAGACGAUGACAUCAUCCCUGACGUCAUCCGGUGCGUGCCACUCUCUCCCGAACAGAAAGGAGGAAAAAAUAAAAAUAAGGCAAAGAAAC
rnacentral:lncRNA from 1 species